ensembl:lncRNA
AUGAAAAGCAAAAUCCUGAUCACUUUGAUUCAAACUGAACAAAGGAGCUUCAAUAAUCCAGCAGGAAAAUACAGCACUGCUAAAUGUAGCCUAGACAUGUCCUCACCUGCCAGCUUGACCCUGGCAACUGGGAGAGGCAGAACCUUGACAUGGUUGACAUUUACAUCACCACAGCCUUCAAAAACUGAGCUCAACAAGGAAGUUGGAAGAAUCAGAGCCAGCCCAGGGAACAUUCUUGAUUCUGAUCAUGUCAUGUGUACUUCCAAUUACAUGCACUAUUGGUACUUUAUGUAAUUAUUUUAAUGGCAUGUAAAUGUGUAACGAUUUUUAUAAAUGCUUUCAUAUACAGGUCUCCAUAUUAUAUUUUUAUUAUAAAUAUAUGUUUAUAUUGUUUUGCUGACUCCUUAGUCCCUGGAAAACUGAAUGGAUAUUUUUUAACUACAAGUUUUUUUCCUAAGUCAAAGUUUUACAAAGUAUGGUCUGUGACUCAAACCACCAGGAAUGCCUGGUAACAAAGCAGUCUACAGGGAAGAUAUUCCAAACCCCACACUAUGAAAAACGAACUUCCAGGUAUUUGCAUUUAAACAUGUUUCCCCAUGUGAUACACUGGUUCUUGGAUCUUCAUGUGCACAGUUAAGUACUGCAGGUGAUGCAAAAGAAAACUGUCCUGGAGCACCCCCCGUGCUGCAGGGACUGAACACUGGCAGGAAGAGCCCACAGUCACUUAAUGUCAAUACAGAAGGACUGGCAGAAACAGCUGGACAACCUCCUGACUCCAGUGCCCUCAGGCAGUUGAAGUCAAGAUCCCAGUGUGGAAUGUAAACUUCAAGAAGCCCAUUGGGAUUGAGUGAGUGUUGGGUCCAGGUUUUGUUUAAGAUGAGCCUGGACAGCAAGUAGAAAAACCAUCGGUCAGUAUUAGUGUAGCCAAGUUCCUAGUUAGGAGGCCAUAGUUCCGCUUUAAUACUUCACCUUAGUAUAAACUACACACACACCAAGUAAAAUCCAUUUCUUGCUGCUUGCCAAGUGAGCUGGCAUGUUAUAUUUUCCAAGAGCGACAUGGGUAGUUCAGGACUGCAAGACUGUGUGUGUGUAUAAGUGUCUGCAAUAUACACAUGUAUGUAUACACAUAAGGAGAGAGAUUGAGAGAAUUAAUUAGCUAUAAAUCCCAUGGAUGGAGGAGCCUGGAAGGCUGCAGUCCAUAGGGUCGCUAAGAGUAGGACACAACUGAGCAACUUCACUUUCACUUUUCACUUUCAUGCAUUGGAGAAGGAAAUGGCAUCCCACUCCAGUGUUCUUGCCUGGAGAAUCCCAGGGACGGCGGAGCCUGGUGGGCUACUGUCCAUGGGGUCACAGAGAGUCGGACACGACUGAAGUGACUUAGCAGCAGCAGCAGUGCUCAGCCACGUCCGACUCUUUGCAGACCCACAGACUAUACCCCGCCAGGCUCCUCUGUCCAUGAGAUUUCCCAGGCAAGAAUACUGCAGUGGGUUGCCACUUGCUACUCCAGGGGAUCCUCCCAACUCAGGGACUGAAUCCGCACCUCUUGUGCCUCCUGUGCUGGCAGGUGGAUUCUUUACCACUAUUGCCAUCUGUGAAGCCCCAAUUAACUAUAUACCAGGGUGGACAAAUACUCCAGAGGAUAGCAAACAUCUGCAAUUUUUGUUUAUAUGACCAUGUUGAUAUAUAUUGAUUUUCUUCCUUAAAGAGUAGAAAAGAGUUUUGUUUUAAGACCUAUGACUGCUGAAAUGUAAACAUGCAUGAAUAGCAAGAAGCCCCCUAAAGGUGUAGUCCAAAAAGUAUCAGCAAAAAAUGGUAGGUUGUUUUAGGGUAGAACCUAAUUAAAGUGAGUGAGCAUUUUAGUGUCCCAACAAUAUUAUAUAUAAAUAACUGGUCUUUUGAAAGCAUUAGACUUCCUAGUUAACAAGUAUGGAUUCUAACGAAACAAAAAAGAUUGUUUUUUUUUUUUCAA